CUUGCAGAUGCGAUUGCCAGUUUUUCAGAGGCAUUCGGUACGAACGGUGUGCUCCGAUCAAUUAAGCUAUUUACCGUUAGCGCUUUAAAAAUCAAUCAACAACAAAAACCAAAACAACCACAGCAACAACAUGAAUGAAGCCAAGAGUCUGUUCACCACUUUCCUCAUCCUGGUCGUCCUGUUGGGCCUGCUGUGGGCUUUCUAUGAAGCCGUUUUCUAAAUCACCAACACGCUAUUAUUAACAACAACAAUAAUAGCAGCAUCUAGACAUGAUUUUCAUAUAAUAAAUAUUUUUGUCGGCACCUGCACUUAAAACGCACAGACACAUACAUGCAUACAUAUCCUGUGUAUGUUUGGUACGACAUUUUCGUUAGGUUUUUUUUUUAUUUAACACCAUCAAAUUCAUGGAAAAUAGUUUGGAGUAAUUAAUUAACGGUAUUAUCGUGUAUUCUGGCAACAACAAGAACACUAUCUUACAUAAUAGAAUUAAUACGCGUAAAAGCAUUUCCAAAUAACAUUAAAAUUCGUAAAAUAAGGACAAAUGUCAACAAAAAAAUGGCGUUCGUUUAGUCAGAAAAUGAGAUGACGUCAACGCUCGACAAAUAUGCGCAUACCAACGAAGCAGCGGCCUGCUACCAAGCCAAAGGAUUUUCGCGUAUCAACACAUCAGCUUUGCGCGCUGGGAUUAGUUGAAGGGCUCGCAGUUUGUGCCUCGUAAACAAUAACAACUAUCAGCUCCAUCAGUUCAUCAAUAAAAAUAAACUAUUUGUGCAGCAGUUGUCCAUCUCAUUAACUCAAAGAAAAUUGCGUUUAUUUAAAAAUAAAGGAAAAUAAUGUAAAAAACCACUUAAAACCAAAAAAAAAAAAGCAAAAAAAGCUUACUAGUGAGCAACAACAGCAAUGUUUGGCGCAUGUUUAGCACAUAUUUUUCUUCUUAGUUGUAUAAGGGUAUUUGAUAUAAGCCAUAGUUGUAGCGAAUUUAUAAUAUUAUGAAAUAUUUAUCAAACAGCAGCUGGCAGGAAUAUAAACAAAAAAAUGGGUAUUUAUGGAACGUUAAAGAAUUAUAAGAUCUUAAUGUAAAAAUAAAAAAAUAAACUACAGAAAAACAUCACAAAAAGGCA
rnacentral:lncRNA from 1 species